CUGCCUCAGGGUUGCGUGCCUCCGGCCCUAGCCUGCGCAGGCGGCCUGAGCUUGGGGCUCUGCUACGCCACCCACGCCCACCUUGGCGGAGGGCGGGGCCCCACGGCUCUCAAACUUGCGCGCCAAAGACGGAGCCACCUGGCGUACUGGUGGAAAGCGCAGACUUCAGAGCCACACCCGUAGUUAAGUAUUCGGACUCUGAGAUUCCAGGGUGGGGCCCAGGCCAUCCGCGUUUUCACCCAGCAUCGUGUGAUUCGGCAGCAGGUGGUCUGUGGCCCGCACUUUGAGAAACCCUGGUGCAGAAGGUUCAUGGUUAGUGGUUCUCUCUGGAAGGAACAGUCUAAGGUUUGUAGGACUUGCGUUCCACCUACCAAAGCUAAUCGAGUUAGAAGGCUCCAAACUGAGGUGUCAUUUCUCAUUACGGUGGUGAGAGGACGGGACCACACACUGUGAAGUCUUCGUUCCCACAUCCCACACUUCAUUCUUGCCGCCUAAGUUGUCGCCGUGGGACUAUUGAAAGGGUAUCAGCGAUAUUCAUCUUUCCUAUAAAUGGGAUCUGCUUUCUACAGUUUCCUGCCAGAUGUGUAAAGAUUGCAAGAAUU
rnacentral:lncRNA from 10 species